AUUGAACGCUGGCGGCAUGCCUUACACAUGCAAGUCGAACGGCAGCACGGGUGCUUGCACCUGGUGGCGAGUGGCGAACGGGUGAGUAAUACAUCGGAACAUGUCCUGUAGUGGGGGAUAGCCCGGCGAAAGCCGGAUUAAUACCGCAUACGAUCUACGGAUGAAAGCGGGGGACCGUCGGGCCUCGCGCUAUCGGGUUGGCCGAUGGCUGAUUAGCUAGUUGGUGGGGUAAAGGCCUACCAAGGCGACGAUCAGUAGCUGGUCUGAGAGGACGACCAGCCCCACUGGGACCUAAGCCACGCCCCAGAUCCUUACGGAAGGAGGCAGUGGGAAAUUUGGGACAAUGGGCGAAAGCUGGUCCAGCCAUGGCCGGGUGUGUAAAGAGGCCCUUCGGGUUGUAAAGCACUUUUGUCCGAAAGGAAACCCUUGGCCCAAUAAGGGCCGGGGAAGGAGGUAACCGGAAGAAUAAGCACCGGCUACUUCCGG
rnacentral:rRNA from 1 species